rnacentral:RNase_P_RNA from 1 species
GCGAGUUGGCGCGUGGCUCUCGAGCCGAACAUCAUGAGGCUUGAGGAAACUCCGCCCACACGUAGAAGUGCAACGCCCGUAAGGGCGUAGGGCGAGAGCCUUGGCAACGGAGCAGAAACGAAACGUCCACCCAAAAGAUGCCAAUGAGGCAUGCUAAGUUGUCGAGAAUGCUGGGUGGAAACGGUGAAACGGCCGUCCUGCACGUGGAAAGGGCAAACAAGCGCUGAUGAAGCCUCUACCCAAGGCGCAGGUAGCCCGAUUAGCUGAAUGCCACAUAAAACAGAAGGCGGGUUACAGCCAACACGC